UACGUAGGGUGCAAGCGUUGUCCAGAAUUAUUGGGCGUAAAGAGCUCGUAGGCGGUUUGUCGCGUCUGCUGUGAAAACCCGAGGCUCAACCUCGGGCCUGCAGUGGGUACGGGCAGACUAGAGUGCGGUAGGGGAGAUUGGAAUUCCUGGUGUAGCGGUGGAAUGCGCAGAUAUCAGGAGGAACACCGAUGGCGAAGGCAGAUCUCUGGGCCGUAACUGACGCUGAGGAGCGAAAGCAUGGGGAGCGAACAGG
rnacentral:rRNA from 1 species